GAUACGCCGAGUCCUGGUGUGCGUUCACACGAAUUGUCUGACUGCUGUAAAGAUUUUUAGCUUCGAGCUUUAAAACAUCCUUUCUUUGAGCCCAAGUUUUGGCUAUUAAGAAACGAUCUUUUAAAGCUUUAUGCUUUAACGCUCUUUAACAAUUUAGAUCUGUAAAAAUUAGUCUUGUACAUUGAGUACAAGCGCCAAUUUAUUUACCAGUAAAAUCGUUACAAGUUACUUACCAGACGCCUUCGGGUUAUAUGGUCAAGUGACUAAGCGUGCACGGUGGAUGCCUUGGC
rnacentral:misc_RNA from 1 species